CCUACGGGGGGCAGCAGUGAGGAAUAUUGGUCAAUGGGCUUACGCCUGAACCAGCCAAGUCGCGUGAGGGAAGACUGCCCUAUGGGUUGUAAACCUCUUUUGUCAGGGAGCAACGCCGGCUACGUGUAGCCGGACUGAGAGUACCUGAAGAAAAAGCAUCGGCUAACUCUGUGCCAGCAGCCGCGGUAAUACGGAGGAUGCGAGCGUUAUCCGGAUUGAUUGGGUUUAAAGGGUGCGUAGGCGGAAUGCCAAGUCAGCGGUAAAAUCGCGGGGCUCAACCUCGCUCCGCCGUUGAAACUGGCGUUCUUGAGUGGGCGAGAAGUAUGCGGAAUGCGUGGUGUAGCGGUGAAAUGCAUAGAUAUCACGCAGAACUCCGAUUGCGAAGGCAGCAUACCGGCGCCCAACUGACGCUGAAGCACGAAAGCGUGGGUAUCGAACAGGAUUAGAUACCCCUGUAGUC
rnacentral:rRNA from 1 species